UGACAUGACUCUCGGCAAUGGAUAUCUCGGCUCUCGCAUCGAUGAAGAGCGCAGCGAAAUGCGAUACGUGGUGCGAAUUGCAGAAUCCCGCGAA
rnacentral:rRNA from 1 species